CCAAACUUGGUCAUUUAGAGGAAGUAAAAGUCGUAACAAGGUUUCCGUAGGUGAACCUGCGGAAGGAUCAUUAUUGAUUCACAGGAUGGCGGGAUGUGCUGGCAAGAAAAAUGGGGUCAAACCCUUCUUGCAUCGUGCACUCCUGCCUCCUUUACAUUCUUGCAUUUGACCCUGUGCACCUUUUGUAGGUGGGACUGUUUCCAGCUUCCCACCUAUGCAUUUUUUGCUUAAACACCCGUCCUGUUUUGUAUGCAUUUUGGAAAUUGAAAAUCUUUAACAACUUUCAACAAUGGAUCUCUUGGCUCUCGCAUCGAUGAAGAACGCAGC
rnacentral:misc_RNA from 1 species